GAUGAAGAACGUAGUGAAAUGCGAUAAGUAAUGUGAAUUGCAGAAUUCCGUGAAUCAUCGAAUCUUUGAACGCACAUUGCGCCCUCUGGUAUUCCGGGGGGCAUGCCUGUCCGAGCGUCAUUUGCAACCCUCAAGCCCGGCUUGUGUGAUGGGUGCCGUCCCCUACGGGACGUGCCCCGAAGGCAAUGGCGGCGUCGCGGUUAUCCGAUCAGCCAAAGUGUAUGGGGCUUUGUCACUCACUUUACGGCCCGGACCGGCGCCAGUCCGAAUCAAUCUUUUUUCUAAAGUUGACCUCGGAUCAGGUAGGGAUACCCGCUGAACUUAAGCAUAUCAAUAAGCGGAGGA
rnacentral:misc_RNA from 1 species